rnacentral:rRNA from 1 species
UACGUAGGGUGCGAGCGUUAAUCGGAAUUACUGGGCGUAAAGUGUGCGCAGGCGGCGCCGCAAGUCGAGUGUGAAAGCCCCGAGCUUAACUUGGGAAUUGCGCUCGAAACUAUGGUGCUGGAGUGUGGCAGAGGAAGGUGGAAUUCCACGUGUAGCGGUGAAAUGCGUAGAGAUGUGGAGGAACACCGAUGGCGAAGGCAGCCUUCUGGGCCAACACUGACGCUCAUGCACGAAAGCGUGGGGAGCAAACAGG